rnacentral:rRNA from 1 species
GUGGCGAGCGGCGGACGGGUGAGUAAUGCCUAGGAAUCUGCCUGGUAGUGGGGGAUAACGCUCGGAAACGGACGCUAAUACCGCAUACGUCCUACGGGAGAAAGCAGGGGACCUUCGGGCCUUGCGCUAUCAGAUGAGCCUAGGUCGGAUUAGCUAGUUGGUGAGGUAAUGGCUCACCAAGGCGACGAUCCGUAACUGGUCUGAGAGGAUGAUCAGUCACACUGGAACUGAGACACGGUCCAGACUCCUACGGGAGGCAGCAGUGGGGAAUAUUGGACAAUGGGCGAAAGCCUGAUCCAGCCAUGCCGCGUGUGUGAAGAAGGUCUUCGGAUUGUAAAGCACUUUAAGUUGGGAGGAAGGGCAUUUACCUAAUACGUAAUUGUUUUGACGUUACCGACAGAAUAAGCACCGGCUAACUCUGUGCCAGCAGCCGCGGUAAUACAGAGGGUGCAAGCGUUAAUCGGAAUUACUGGGCGUAAAGCGCGCGUAGGUGGUUUGUUAAGUUGAAUGUGAAAUCCCCGGGCUCAACCUGGGAACUGCAUCCAAAACUGGCAAGCUAGAGUAUGGUAGAGGGUGGUGGAAUUUCCUGUGUAGCGGUGAAAUGCGUAGAUAUAGGAAGGAACACCAGUGGCGAAGGCGACCACCUGGACUGAUACUGA